UUCUUGUUAGGGGAAGAUGCAUAGUAAAGGAUGGUCCACCUAUUAUUUCACUCUUGUUAUGUUGGUGUAUAUCUGGUUUGAUAUUAUCGUUUAAUGGUUUGAGUUUGUGUAGUUUUAGUUAAGCCAAGUCUAUGUGCUGCUUAUGGGAGUUUUUGUGUGUUACAUUAAUAAGGGUGUUGUUGUAAUAUGAUAUUAUUUAGGACUUAAUAGUAAUGUUUAAAUUAGUUUGUUGAUGUGAAAUGA
rnacentral:rRNA from 2 species